GAUGAAGAACGUAGCGAAAUGCGAUAAGUAGUGUGAAUUGCAGAAUUCAGUGAAUCAUCGAAUCUUUGAACGCACAUUGCGCCCUUUGGUAUUCCAAAGGGCAUGCCUGUUCGAGCGUCAUUUGUACCCUCAAGCUUUGCUUGGUGUUGGGCGUCUUGUCUCUAGCUUUGCUGGAGACUCGCCUUAAAGUAAUUGGCAGCCGGCCUACUGGUUUCGGAGCGCAGCACAAGUCGCACUCUCUAUCAGCAAAGGUCUAGCAUCCAUUAAGCCUUUUUUUCAACUUUUGAUCUCGGAUCAGGUAGGGAUACCCGCUGAACUUAAGCAUAUCAAUAGCGGAGGA
rnacentral:misc_RNA from 1 species